AUCCUUAUGCGUUUAUUCCACAUCAUGUCCUCCCUAGUCCUAGUCCACUCGAUCCUUUUCCUCUAUCUCACUCACUCUUGUUUACUGUACCUUGCCACGAUCGCCUUAUCGCGCCCGCGAUCCCCACGACGAGGGUGGCGAGCGUAGGUCUCAUUUGCCAUUUGCCGGACGCGAGCGAGUAUUGGUUGCACUCUCUGGGAGAACGCCCCCAUGACGCCAUAUAAUUGUUCAUCAUCCCCCAAAUCAAGAAACAAACUCGUCAGGCUUGGGAACAAAAACUAAAGCUAAAAUCAAAGCUCUAAAACAAACAAAAAAUCAAUCCAAAAUCUUUCCCAUCAAGAAUUCCGAGAAACAGGUCCCGGUGAAACUGAUUUUUAAUGCGGUACAUCGGACACAGGAUGCGCCAGCCCAUAAUGUAUCGAUAGUGCUUAGUUGAUCUUCUAGAGAAUGCUGUUUCUUUUUUACAAUACGUUUGAUUUUUUUAUACGUGUACGAUAUUCUCGGUUUUUCUCUCCUUUAAAUAUUUACCACUUGAAUGGUACCAUGUUAAUGUCGGCAAACAGCUUUUUUAUCCACUAUAAAUGAUGAAACAAGUCCCAAAUUUUAUUACUAGUGCAACCUGUAUGCUUCGGAUUUUGUACGAUUAUUUUGUUUUUUUUUUCGUUUCGUAGAACGCCCAUCCAAUGGAUAAAACUGCUCUGAUGUUACAUAGCAUUUUCUAAUAUUAUAUCAAUAAACCCACAUAAUCGAGUAAGUGAAUUUGUGCUGGCAAAAAAAACAUGCUAGCAAACCAGAAUCAGAGACGUAAGCCUCCGUAUAAUCAAAAGCUUUUUAUUUGAGCCACCCCAUUUGAUACGAAUGUGGGUUUUGAAAAGGACUCUUGAUUUUGGCCAAUCCGCUUUUAAAUUUUGCAACUAUUUUGUUGUUGUUGCAUUGCCCUAAACUAGCGCUAGAACCCUACACAAGCUGAUCGUAGACGAUGCCGCACAUAUUUGUUUUUGCUUCGUUUUAUCAAAAAAUGUAACCGUGAGCCUGUUUCUCAAGCUAUCUUGAAGUGUAUGAGGUUUUGAUUGAUUUACAAUAAGUUGGUAACUGGAGGAGCUUUUGAACAAAAUUGAUGUGUGUUUUCUAUGGAGAAGUACCAUACCGCAGCGCGGGACUAGCGAGCUGACAGAAGCAAAUGAUCAUCGAACAAAUGAUAACGCAAGCUACGAUGGAAAUGCGCGAAUAAUUAACAUUUCGUUCAAACCCCAACUACGGGAGGUACGGCAAUCAGACCGAAUUAACUCCCCUUGGAGAUUGUCCCAAAACGAAUGAAAAAAAAAUCUUGAAGAUAACGAUAUUAUUGAUUCGAGAGUGAUAAAUUCUCAAGAGUAUGGUUUUGUUUAUCAACGCGUGCGCUAAGAAUAAGCAUUGCUUAUGAUCCCUGUAAACAAACACUUAAUAUUGUUUUAUUUUUCGCUAUGAACAAUAAAGGAGAAAAAUGUUAUUAACGAUCAACGUAA